GACCUAUACCACAGUUCACUGCAAUGUCGGAUCCGUGACCCACUGAGUGAGGCCAGGGAGGGAACCCGCAAUCUCAUGGUUCCUAGUCGGAUUCGUUUCUGCUGCACCACCAUGGGAACACCUCUGCCCUGAAUCUUGAUCUGUGUGUCUAUACCUACAGCAACAACGCACGGAACUGACUGCUGCAGCUUAUGGAAUUGGACAGAUUGACUUUUCACACUUUAUUCUCAUUUUUCAAAAUUGUUUUAGCUAUUCUAGUUUCUUUGUCUUUCCACAUAAAUUUUAGAAAAGUCUUGCCUUCACCUACAGGCUCUUGCUGCAUCAGUGGAUAUCUACAGCAGGAGUGAGCAACAAUGCAUAACAAAUGACUGCUACAUCUCUACCUGGAGGCACCAUCCACCUAGCAGCCAACAUCAGAUUUCAGAGUCACUGAUGGAUGUAGUCAACAACCGUAGACCGGGUACCCAGCAUACCCUGGGCUAACAAGUACAAUUCCAACCCACCUUCCCAGGCAGGGAAGGGGAAAGACACAAAUAACUCCAGCUGCUCGAGAAGCGCCACAGAACAGGUACACAUGGUACCUGAUGACACCGGGCAGGAGUGAAAGUCUGUCAACACUGAGAAAGGAAGUAGUGCUAAAGGACUGGGAUGACUUCACUGGGCCAACCAGGAGGUAAAAAGUCAGUAAAGGACAAAAGUCCGUGCGAAAACACAGCAGCAUAAUGCAGCCUGCUUGGGCAGCAUCUGUUAGAGGUGGGGACUGGAGGGCAGUUGGAGGGACAGAACCGGAGAAAGGGGACGGGGGGCGAAUGUCCCGCUAAGGAACCUAGUCCUGUCAACAUGUGAGGCAGCUUUAAAAGCGCAAUCACCUGAUCCAACAGGAACCUUGAUGAGCCAGCAGCAGGGGGUGGCAGCGAGAUGCCCUGACAGAGGGAGAGAGACUGAGGGCCCGCCACGGAGAGGGGCCAGGAGACCCUCACCCCAGGAGACCCUGAACAGCCCUGACACGACGUGGCAAGGGCACCACUGACCUGAAUCACAGCAACACCAAGGAAUGGAGAGGGCUGUGGGGAAGACUUAAGAGGUUGCAGUAACUAAGGCCAGGUGAGGGACGGUGCAGACCACACAUCUGAGCCACCUGCUAAGUUUCUGGCUUGAUCAAUUCACAAAUGUGCCUCCCAGUAGCUUCCGGGCCUCGAGCCCUGAGCUGGGGUUAAAGGCCAGGCUGCAGGCCCCUCUGAGGCCACUCAGCAGCCAAGGGAUGGUUACCAUGAGCCCACUCGCCCUUCCCCCACCAGGGCCAGAAGCAGGGAACACAGAGAGGAAGACCCUACAAGCGGGGCUCAGGGCCUCAAGGGUCAGGCCUCUCUCACAGGGCACAGGGGACCACAGGUAAAUUUCAAGGGUGUGCCAGUUGUCUGAUGGAAAGGCGGGCACAAUCUGAGAGAAAAAAGAAGUGAAACCUCCAAAUGCCAGCCACCAGUCUGAUGGACAAAAGUCUCAAGAGCAAUGGGGGCAGGGAGGUGGCGCUCUAACUGAUGGAGCCACUGCAUGGAAGGAGCAGGCUCGAGUAAAUGUGUUAAGAAAUAAGGAUGUGGAGCUCCCAUCGUGGCUCAGCAGUUAAGGAAUCCAACUAACAUCCAUGAGGACUUGGGUUCAAUCUCUGACCUUGCUCAGUGGAUUAAAGAUCUGGCAUUGCCGUGAGCUGUGGUGUAGUUCAAAGACGCAACCCAGGUCCCAAGUUGCUGUGGCUGUGGUGUAGGUCAGCAGCUACAGCUCUGAUUGGACCCCUAGCCUGGGAACCUCCACAUGCCAUGGGUGUGGCCCUAAAAAGACAAACAAAAAAAGAACUAAGGAUGUGAAAUAUGAGUCAAAGAUUAAAAUGUGGCAAUGAAUUUCAACACAAUCACUCACUAAAGUUUAUAAAAUAGCUACUCGUGUAAUUGAAAAAAAUACAAAUAAAAUUUUUACUGAGGAAUAGCAUCAUAUUUAUAUAGGCCUUACAGCUUUCAAUAAAUUACAUUAUACAUGGUCCUUAAAAGGGAUGUGGUAAUUUUUUCCUUAUAAAUUACUAUAUAUCCAUAUAAUAAAAAGCAACACAGGACAGGUGUCACAGGAAACACUAAAAUUGUUAUGAGAGCUCAGAGAAAAGAUCACAUUCCUAUAAUUGAUGAUGAGAAGCCUUCUUUGGAUGAAACACACUUGCACUUUAAAAGAUAAGUGGGAUUUCAUGGGGCAGAGAUGGGAGAAGAGGUUAGUUAACCAAAUUAAAAGUACUGGCAUGAAUCAAGCUAUGGAGCCAAGAAGGCAACAAAAACAUUUGCAGAAGAAUAAGUGCACAGAACACAAGUUCAGUACAAGGUUUCACGGUCAAGUAAGUUUGGGUAACGAAGAACAGCCCCGUCUAGCACUGUAACUAGCUCUGUAAUGGCUAACAGCAUAAGAAAGAUUAUUGAGAAAACCAGUAGUAGAUAUUCAUUUCAUAACCGAAAUUUAUUACAAGUUUCUCAAAUUUGUUUUACCAGGGAAAUGACCCACCCACCCUUUAUAUCAUGAAAUCUGUCAGAAUGUCAUUAUAUUAAGAGUAUAUUGAUACAAACUGUCAAUACUCACAAGAGGUGACAACAAUGAAACUGAUUUCUCCCCAAAGUAGUAUUUCUCAAUAUUUAAUCUUUACUGUUCAUUAGCUUGGCUGCAGGUCCAAAUUGCUGCACCUUAUAUACUUUUCUUCAAAAAAAUAUUAAAUGGAUAACCUGCUAAAAGAAAUGGCUAUCUAUUCUGAAGAAAAUGGCUAUCUAUUCUGAAGGAAAUUUCCUGGUUCAUAAUUUUUUUUAAUCCAGUCAAAAGUUUUUAAUCCAGUCAUCUAAUGAUUUUAAAAGGAAAAACGAGUUCCUGUCAUGGCUCAGAGGAAAUGAAUCUGCCAUGGCUCAGCAGAAAUGAAUGUGUCUAGUAUCCAUGAGGAUGCAGGUUUGAUCCCUGGCCUCGGUCAGUGGGUUAAGGAUCUGGUGUGAGCUGUGGUGUAGGUAGUGGACGCAGCUCGGAUCUGGUAUUGCUGCAGCUGUGGUGUAGGCUGGCAGCUACAACUCCAAUUCCACCCCUAGCCUGGGUACCUCCACUUGCCACAGGUGAGGCCCUAAAAAGACAAAAAAAGGGGGGGGGGGAGGAAAAACACAAAUAUAAAACUCAGACUGUAAAAAGGUAAACAAUCCGACAAAAAGAUGAAAGAUGCUAUGGAAGACUUACACUCUGAAAACUAAAUAAUUUUCAUGAUUUUAUAAGAUAGAAACUGUUCAACUACUUCCCAUGAGGUCAAGAAAUAUAUUUGCCUGUCACCAUGCCUGUGAAGUCCUUUCUGAUGACACUAUUCAAAAUUCCAACCUCCUCCCCUAUUCUUUAUUCAGAGGAAUACGCUGUACUCAGAGUACCUAGUUUGUAGGUACUUAUUACUUGUUGAAAGAAUAAACUGAAAGGAUCUUAAAAAAAAAAAAAAAAAAAGAAAGAUAUUUGCCUGACUUGGUUCCAGUCAAAGUUGCAGAUCAAAUUUCUGUAUUUCAGUAAUGCACAAGGGCAGUUUACCUACUGGGUUCAUCUUUUUUUUUUUAAUCUUUCAUUUUAUACUUAGCUGAAGAACAUUUCUCUUUAAAAAUCAAAAUAUAUAACAGCUACAAUGUUUAGAUACACGUGAAAAUGAAACACACUGCCUGGCUUCAGCCUCAGUUCUGACAAUGACUGGGAUCUUAUGGAAAUUAAUCAAAUCCUCUAUGCCUCAUUUUCCACACCCCUACAGUGGGAAAAAUGAAAGCACCUACUUCAAGGUGAACUGAGAUAAUUCACAAAAUCACUUAGGAAAGACUCUGAAUCACAGAAUUCACUCAAUAAAAUAGUAACGUAUCGGAGUUCCCGUUGUGGCUCAGUGGUUAACGAAUCCAACUAGGAACCAUGAGGUUGCAAGUUCCAUCCCUGGCCUU
rnacentral:lncRNA from 1 species